AUACGUAGGGGGCGAGCGUUGUCCGGAAUGAUUGGGCGUAAAGGGCGCGUAGGCGGCCCGGUAAGUCUGGAGUGAAAGUCCUGUUUUUAAGAUGGGAAUUGCUUUGGAUACUGUCGGGCUUGAGUGCAGGAGAGGUAAGUGGAAUUCCCAGUGUAGCGGUGAAAUGCGUAGAGAUUGGGAGGAACACCAGUGGCGAAGGCGACUUACUGGACUGUAACUGACGCUGAGGCGCGAAAGUGUGGGGAGCAAACAGGAUUAGAUACCCUGGUAGUCCACACUGUAAACGAUGAAUGCUAGGUGUAGGGGGUAUCGACCCCUUCUGUGCCGCAGUCAACACAAUAAGCAUUCCGCCUGGG
rnacentral:rRNA from 1 species